UACGGGGGGUGCAAGCGUUGCUCGGAAUUAUUGGGCGUAAAGCGUACGCAGGCGGCUCUACAAGUCGAGUGUGAAAACCCGGGGCUCAACCCCGGAAUUGCAUUCGAAACUGCCGGGCUUGAGUGCGGGAGAGGGAAGCGGAAUUCCUGGUGUAGAGGUGAAAUUCGUAGAUAUCAGGAGGAACACCGGUGGCGAAAGCGGCUUCCUGGCCCGAUACUGACGCUCAUGUAAGAAAGCGUGGGGAGCAAACAGG
rnacentral:rRNA from 1 species